rnacentral:rRNA from 1 species
AUGGCAAAGAGGGAGGCAUGGCGCCUCAGCUCCGCCACCGAUGACAGCCUCGACGGCAGCAGCACGCGCAGUGUCGGCAGGGUCAAGGUGCGGCAGUAUGGGAAGACGUGCAAGGAGCUCACCGGUAUGUUCAUGACACGAGAGUUGGCCACGCACUCUGGCUCUGUAUGGUGCAUUAACUUCAGCUUGGCUGGACGGUACCUUGCGAGCGCCGGCGAGGACCGUGUGAUCCAUGUCUGGGAGGUCUCCGAGGGUGAGAGAAAGGGGGAGCUGCUCGGGGAAGGUGCGGUUUCAAAGGAGAGUGGUGGCGGAGGCAGUCUGUUUGUGGCAGUUGCUGGAAAUGGAUCGCGGUGGUGGCAAUGUUGCCGCUCAGCAGUGUAG